UACGUAGGGUGCGAGCGUUGUCCGGAAUUAUUGGGCGUAAAGAGCUCGUAGGCGGUUUGGUAAGUCGGAUGUGAAAUCUCCAGGCUCAACCUGGAGGGGUCAUUCGAGACUGCCAUGACUAGAGUUCGGUAGAGGAGUGUGGAAUUCCUGGUGGAGCGGUGAAAUGCGCAGAUAUCAGGAGGAACACCCGUAGCGAAGGCGGCACU
rnacentral:rRNA from 1 species